CUCUCGCGCUAGAAAAGAGGUAAAAGCUUAUUCUUAAUUAAAUAAAAAAUAAUAUAUUUAUUUUCUUGACGCACUUUAAUGUCACAUGAUGUUGUUGCAUAAUCAUACUUUCAACAUAAUUUCUCAAAGCCUAUGGUUUAUAAUAAAUUUCUGAUAAUUUUUGGUCGGCAUACAUACUUGUUCAAUUAAAUGAAAGUCAUGGUUGAUUUUGCCGACAAAUAAUAUCAGUAAGUUCUUGCUACAAAUAAUUGCUACCUACCUCAUUUUGAGAUGUAGUUACAUACUAGGUAUCUUAAGAUGCAUGUUUGUUACGUUAGGAGACUAGAAUGCAUCAUAUGCCUCCUAGCAUGCAUCUCAAGGUGGGUUCGAUGUCAUCAUUACUAGUGAAAAUUAUUAUUCUCUCAAGUAGUGAAGAAAAUUCAAUUUCGGAAGGAACUGUAUUUGGGUUCCUCAUAAUAUAUAAGAUAUGGAUUCCUCUACUUUUAGAAUAUAAUAUGCCCCUACUUGUCAAACAUGAGACCUAGGAUAUAUUGACCAAAUCUAACAUUUCUAGGGAGAAUUUUUAAAUACCUACCAAACCCCAGCUUUUGAAGUGGGCUUGUGCUUUCUUACUGCUAUUUUAGGGCAUGAAUAAAGAAUUAACUUAUGGGAUGCUUAAAUUAAAAGCAUAUAUAUAUUUCUUAUCUUUCUAUCCAGAAAAAAAGCGAGGGGCUUGACCAGUAGCCAGUCUGCCCUAUUUGCAUUAAGAAUGUAUGUGGAAACCAAACCAAGGGGUUUGAAUCAAUUUUUCCUCCUACAUCUAUGAUAUUUGAAAGCAUUUAAAGGCUAUAACCUAAAGAAUUCUAAAAAAUUUGAAUACAUAGAAUUCCUUGACCAUUAUCCCAUUUGCCAUCUCCUAUUCAUAUCACAGUCAACAACAUGGGAUGUAUUCAAGAUCAAACCAGAUGAAUUCUCUUCUCAAAACCACAUUGUAUUUAGAAAACUCCCACCUAUGAGUAUCCCCAGCUCCCACUAUCAUCUCCUUAAUUUUCAAGCUUUCUUCCUUGAUCUCCAUCUUGUUCUUUUGCUCGCCAUUCUUUGUUCUUUAAGCUACAUAUAAUGCCAACGUACUCCAAUUGUUUUGUGUGUGGUCACUCUCCCAUUGGUGGAAUGAGUCUCCAAGGCCACUCCAAAAAUAAUCUUGCAUGAGGUGGCUUCAUGUGAUGACAUUCAUGAGGAAAUAGAAGAGGUUUCUUUCUCCUUUUAGAGUCUUAAUUAAGAGAGCAAAACAAAAAAAAGAAUGCAGGAAAUAGUAUGUUAUAUAUAUAUAUUGAUCUUUAGUUGUUAGAGUUGUUGCAUCAUAUUUACUCUAUUCUUCCAUUGUGGUCCAACAAUUUAGAAGGGAAGGUAAGUGACGAGAUAUCUUUAGUUUUUGGAGUAACAAUUCAUUUAAUGUAAGCUCUUCAGGAGGGAUUAUUGGAUGUCUUACUUCUUAAGAAGCUUUCUUUUUGCGGUAAAAUUACGUUUUUUUUCUUAAUUUGUUUUGACCUUCACUUUGCGAAAUGUACAUAGGCUUACAGGAUGGAUUUGGAAUGGAGGGUUAAUCAACUUAACAAUGAGAAUACUCGAUUAAAAAGGGAUCUCGAGGAGCUAAGAACAGAGACGGUAUGAUUUCUUUACCACCAUUCCUUUUCUUUAAGAGAACAGAUCCUUUGCAGUGCACAUGCAGCACCGCAGAGUACUGUGCAUCCCUAGAUGGCCACCAUCAGAAGAUGAAUGGCAAUCAAACAAAAUAAUCCAUGAGUACAUGUCGUGUCAUAGAUAUCAUACAUUGUUUGAUGGUCAUCUAUCUCCUAACGGCGGCCAUCCAGGGAUGCACAAUCGCACCAUAACAGAUCUUGGUUGUUUCUCUAAAUCUUUCGGUGUGAGUUUAAGUUAUUGCCUUUUUGACCAAUUUUAGUUUCCAAAAAUUAGUAACUCAUUAAAGAAAUUGGUCCCUCAUGCAUUUAAUGGCAGCUCCAAAAGCCUAUGGACAAGCAGGAAAAUACCAACGAUGGAAAGACUGAUCAUGCAUGUCGUCGUUGUAACAGCUGCCCGUUCUAAGAUGUUGCCACUAUCAAAUAGCUGCCAUCCUGCUAUUCUUACCGGUCUUCUUGUAUGGAGUGUAGGCAGCUCAUAAGAGUAACAAUUGCAAGGUGUUUUACUUAUCGAACUUCGGUAGUUUUAAGCUUGAGUAGAAAAAAAUAAGGAGUACAAAUCAUAAACCUAUCAGCACUUUAUCCCUAAUUGUUGGUUAAUUGUUCUUGAAUAAGUGUAUGUUUUAGUUUAUUUUUGUAAAAAGUCAG
rnacentral:lncRNA from 1 species